GAUGAAGAACGUAGCGAAAUGCGAUAAGUAGUGUGAAUCGCAGAAUUCAGUGAAUCAUCGAAUCUUUGAACGCACAUUGCGCCCCAUGGUAUUCCGUGGGGCAUGCCUGUUCGAGCGUCAUUUACCCCCUCAAGCUCCGCUUGGUGUUGGGCGUCUGUCCCGCUUCGCGCGCGGACUCGCCCCAAAGGUAUUGGCAGCGGUCGUGCCAGCUUCUCGCGCAGCACAUUGCGCUUCUCGAGGCACCGGUGGGCCCGCGUCCAUCAAGCUCACCCCCCCAGUUUGACCUCGGAUCAGGUAGGGAUACCCGCUGAACUUAAGCAUAUCAAUAAGCGGAGGA
rnacentral:misc_RNA from 1 species